rnacentral:rRNA from 1 species
CCUACGGGGUGCAGCAGGCGCGAAAACUUUACAAUGCCGGCAACGGCGAUAAGGGGACCUCGAGUGCCAGGUUACAAAUCUGGCUGUCGUGAUGCCUAAAAAGCAUUGCAUAGCAAGGGCCGGGCAAGACCGGUGCCAGCCGCCGCGGUAACACCGGCGGCUCGAGUGGUAACCGUUAUUAUUGGGUCUAAAGGGUCUGUAGCCGGCCGGAUAAGUCUCUUGAGAAAUCCAGCAGCUCAACUGUUGGGCUUUCAGGAGAUACUGUCUGGCUCGAGGCCGGGAGAGGUGAGAGGUACUUCAGGGGUAGGGGUGAAAUCUUGUAAUCCUUGAAGGACCACCAGUGGCGAAGGCGUCUCACCAGAACGGACCUGACGGCAAGGGACGAAAGCUAGGGGCACGAACCGGAUUAGAUACCCACGUAGUCC